GAUGAACGCUGGCGGCGUGCCUAAUACAUGCAAGUCGAGCGAACGGACGAGAAGCUUGCUUCUCUGAUGUUAGCGGCGGACGGGUGAGUAACACGUGGAUAACCUACCUAUAAGACUGGGAUAACUUCGGGAAACCGGAGCUAAUACCGGAUAAUAUUUUGAACCGCAUGGUUCAAAAGUGAAAGACGGUCUUGCUGUCACUUAUAGAUGGAUCCGCGCUGCAUUAGCUAGUUGGUAAGGUAACGGCUUACCAAGGCAACGAUGCAUAGCCGACCUGAGAGGGUGAUCGGCCACACUGGAACUGAGACACGGUCCAGACUCCUACGGGAGGCAGCAGUAGGGAAUCUUCCGCAAUGGGCGAAAGCCUGACGGAGCAACGCCGCGUGAGUGAUGAGGGUCUUCGGAUCGUAAAACUCUGUUAUUAGGGAAGAACAUAUGUGUAAGUAACUGUGCACAUCUUGACGGUACCUAAUCAGAAAGCCACGGCUAGCUACGUG
rnacentral:rRNA from 1 species